CUGAACGCGCCCGGUCUUGGCUGAUCUCGGACGCUAAGCAG
rnacentral:rRNA from 1 species